rnacentral:lncRNA from 1 species
UCUCUAAGAAAUUCUGAGUUUGAGCCCCUUAUUUUCAAAGUUCCUGGCUAGGGAGCAGAAUGUGUCAGUACAUAAGCGCUUGCCUUGCAAGCAAAAGCAUCCAAGGUUAAUCCCAGAGCUGCACAUAAAAAUUCCAGACAUGGUGGCACACAUUUGUAACCCUAGUAAGGUGGAAACAAGGAGGGUCCCUGGGACUCACUGUCCAGCCAGGCUAGCCUGAUUGGUGAACUCUUGGCCAAUGAAGAACACUGUCUGGAAGGAGGUAGAUGGGGCAUUGCUUAAGUGUGACGCUUAAAGUCAUCCUCCUGUCUCUAAAUGAAGGUACACACAUACAUACCAUGAACACAUGAACCAACACAGGGGCACACAUGCAACACUGUCGCGCGCCCAAUGUCCCGCCAGCAAGAACGACGCGCGGCAACAGGAUUCUUCUGCGAGCAAGCCUUUACUGUGUUACAGCUCUUCUCAGUGUUACAGCUCUUCUCAGUGUUACAGCUCUUCUCAGUGUUACAGCUCUUCUCAGUGUUACAGCUCUUCUCAGUGUUACAGCUCUUCUCAGUGUUACAGCUCUUCUCAGUGUUACAGCUCUUCUCAGUGUUACAGCUCUUCUGAACAGGGACCCCGAGCAGCAAAAUCGCUCGGC